rnacentral:rRNA from 1 species
GACGAACGCUGGCGGCGUGCUUAACACAUGCAAGUCGAACGGAGUGGCGAACGGGUGAGUAACACGUGGGUGACCUGCCCUGCACUUAGGGAUAAGCCUGGGAAACUGGGUCUAAUACCGGCUAGUGUGGGAUGGGCCCGCGGCCUAUCAGCUUGUUGGUGGGGUAAUGGCCUACCAAGGCGGCGACGGGUAGCCGGCCUGAGAGGGUGGACGGCCCCAUUGGGCCUGAGACACGGCCCAGACUCCUACGGGAGGAAGCAGUGGGGGAUAGUGCGCAAUGGGCGGAAGCCGUGUGCAGCGACGUCGCGUGGGGGAUGACGGCCUUCGGGUUGUGAACGUCCUUCACCAUCGACGCGGUAGAUGGAGAAGAAGCAACGGCUAACUACGUGCCAGCAGCCGCGGUAAUAC